CAGUUCGGAUCGGAGUCUGCAACCCGACUCCGUGAAGCUGGAUUCGCUAGUAAUCGCGCAUCAGCCAUGGCGCGGUGAAUACGUUCCCGGGCCUUGUACACACCGCCCGUCAAGCCAUGGGAGCCGGGAGUGCCUGAAGUCCGUGACCGCGAGGAGCGGCCUAGGGUAAGACCGGUGACUGGGGCUAAGUCGUAACAAGGUAGC
rnacentral:rRNA from 1 species